GUAGGGUGCGAGCGUUAAUCGGAAUUACUGGGCGUAAAGCGUGCGCAGGCGGUUUGCUAAGACCGAUGUGAAAUCCCCGGGCUCAACCUGGGAACUGCAUUGGUGACUGGCAGGCUAGAGUAUGGCAGAGGGGGGUAGAAUUCCACGUGUAGCAGUGAAAUGCGUAGAGAUGUGNAGGAAUACCGAUGGCGAAGGCANCCCCCUGGGCCAAUACUGACGCUCAUGCACGAAAGCGUGGGGAGCAAACAGGAUUAGAUACCCUGGUAGUCCACGCCCUAAACGAUGUCAACUAGUUGUUGGGGAUUCAUUUCCUUAAUAACGUANCUUACGCGUGAAGUUNACCGCCUGGGGAGU
rnacentral:rRNA from 1 species